GUAAAAUGCAGAUCAGUCAUUUUGUAGUACAAACGGGAAAUUGAUAAUCAGAUGAUCAAACUGAUGCAAAAUGUUAGAUUGUAAUGCAAAAUGACUGAAAAACGGCAAACUUCGCAAGGCUAUAUUAUCCGCAUUUUACAACAUUUCGCAACGAAACUUCGUGAUGCUCUUUCAAGCUGUGAUGAAAUUGUUGCCCAGGCAUAUCUAGAUCAAAAUUUCACUCAUAAGGGGAAAGAUCAAUUUCGACGUUUCGAGCGAAAGCCCUUGGUCGUGAAGUUAGUGUCUUCGCUGGAAACGUCGAAGUUCUCCUUGUAUUUUUCAGGUAGUUGUAUCCCUGUCAAUCCAAGCGUUAUAUCCACUGGAUAGUAAAUUUUGAACCGUUGUAAAAAUGGUUGAAAAGCUAGAAGACUACGGAAGUUCGCACUUGAUAAAAAGAAACUUUGGAAAGCUUGAAAAAUCAUUAUCCGGUCUUUGCGUGGUAAAAAAUGUAAUUGGGUCCAUGGCCUUUUGCGACACUACUGUAGUACUGAUAACUACGAUUAUUAAACUGAUUAAAUAAGUUUUAACAAUAUAGUGAUCAAAUGGUAUAGAUGGGCAGAGACGCCGGAACUGGGGGGCAGGAGGGGCAGCUGUCCCUCUUGCCUUUUGCUAGGAGGGGCAAGGGGGGGCAGAAGUAUACUGAAUACUACCUGAUAAAUCACAUUUCCAGUGAUGCUUUUUGGGCAAAAUCAUGAGGUGUGAUCUUGAAUGUGACCUGAUUAAGUGCGUUUACUUUCAUUGGCAAAUCAACACAUAAUUGUAGGUUAAUAUCUUCACCGGGGUCUAUAAAGGUGCCCCUUUGGUAUGCGUUUGCCCCCCAUUGCCUUUUUAUCUUUCCGGCGUCCCUGUAGAUGGGCCUUGCAGAAACCUUCGUCUCAAAUGAUAUAACUGACAAAGAGGCUGCAUAAGAAUUUUUAGGUUCACUGUGAAAUAGACUUCAUCGUGCUUUCUGCCGUUGCACACUUUCUCAUUAUAUUGUGAGAAUACAAAGCCUAGUUUACACUAUCAAAGUUUCUGUGAUCAGAGUAGAAAUUUUGCAUCGCUAAAUAGGCAAUUCCAGCUUUUAGUCUAUGCCUGCAGGGGAUGAUGGGAAGUGAUGUAUCAUAGUGCUGAUCAUGCUGAAAAAUUUCAAUAAAAACUGCCGAAACAACCGAAAUAUUUCAAUAUUUACAAGUAUAAGCUAUCACUCUAUUUCUAUUUUCCAUUUCUAUUUUUUCAGCAUAAUCAGCAAUAUGAUACCUUUCUUCCCAUCCACCCCUGCACGCAUAAACUAAAAGCUGGAAUUGCCUAUUCUAAGUUUUGAAGCGGAUUUGUAAGAAAUGUUUGAGAAGUUUGACUCAUGUGUUAACACUGACUCAGUUUCCUCAAACAUUUCUUACAAACCCUUCAAAACUUAGAAUUUCCUAUGCAAAAUUCCUACUGUGAUCACAGAAACUUUGAUAGUGUAAACCAGAGCCUUAACUAUAGAGCAUAUCCGGCUCAUGUAUAGCAAUGUCGUUUUAUAUAGUCAAAUAAAGUACGUUCAAAAUAUCCAUGAAUGUUCUCGGUGAAGUGUUCUAAUACCAACGCCUGUGUUCUAAAAGUUCACUCACACUCAAAGAGUGGAGGUUCAAUCUGAGCUUCUCUUGAGUAUCAAUGCUGUUUUUGAAUAUCGCUGAAGAGUGAGUAUAGUCACAGAGUUAAGUACGACACUAACUCCCCCCAGCAUUGGCACUCGAGUAUAUAACAGACAACUACAGUGGUAUAUAACAGACAACUACAGUGGUAUAUAACAGACAACUACAGUGGUAUAUAACAGACAACUAUUGUGAUGUACAAGCGUACGAAAACCAGCCUAAAGCCCAUUAUUACUAAAGUACAAAUAAUACAAUAAUUAUGCAUUUGUUUUGUUAUUUUUGUAAUUGUAACAUUACAAAUUUUACAGAAAUUUUUUAGCCUUCGCCCAGGUUCCCAGAAAGAAAAAUUUUUUUUCCACCCCUGGUAUAGUCACAGAGUAAAGUACGACACUAACCCUCCAGCUAUUCAAAAACAGCAUUGACACUCAAGAGAAGCUCAGAUUGAACCUCCACUCUUUGAGUGUGAGUGAGCUUUUAGAAUACAGGCGCAAGUGUCUUUAUUAUUAAGGACAAGUAUAGCACGCUAACUCUGCCAGAUCAUGCGUGAUUGUAUUUCUUAAUCCCAAUGGACCUAUUCCUUAAUGAACAAAAUUUUGAUCUAGACAAGUCUAGACAAAAA
rnacentral:lncRNA from 1 species